UGAAAAUCGUUGUCCUAACUUCUAGAAAAAACAAGUAGUCAGGUGCCAGUACCAGCAUGUAAGAACGGUAAUGGAAGUAUGGAACCCGGAGCCAUGCCCUGCCUAUCGGAACCAGUGACAAUCGGGGACUAUAUAUUGAAAUCAAAGCUGGGAGAAAGUUCUUUUUCCACAAUUUGGAAAGCAGAGAGCAAAUCAAGCGGAGAAGUAGUGGCAGUGAAGCAAGUUUUUCUUUCGAAGCUUAACAAACACCUCACCAACUGUUUGGAUUGUGAGCUUAAUUUUCUGUCCUCUGUCAAUCACCCCAACAUCAUUCGCCUUCUCCACGUUUUUCAGUUUGAAAGUUGUUUGUUCCUUGUCCUGGAGUUCUGUGCUGGAGGAGACCUAGCCUCUUACAUUCGGCAUCAUGGAAGAGUUCAAGAGCAAAUAGCCAGAAGAUUUAUGCAGCAACUUGGAGCUGGUUUGGAAGUUUUGCAGUCCCUUCAUAUCAUUCACAGAGACCUGAAACCAGAAAACAUUCUCCUGUCUGGCUCCAAGGAUGAUUUGGUACUGAAGAUAGCUGAUUUUGGUCUUUCAAGAUGUGUAGAUCCAGGCAAGUAUGCUGAGACAGUAUGUGGAUCCCCAUUGUAUAUGGCUCCAGAAGUUCUACAAUUUCAAAGAUAUGAUGAGAAGGUUGACAUGUGGAGUCUUGGUGCUAUUCUUUUUGAGCUUCUUAAUGGUUACCCACCUUUCCAUGGUAGGACUAAUGUUCAGCUGCUUCAGAAUAUCAAAUCAUGUACAUGCCUUCCAUUUUCGAAGCUCAUUCUUCCAGGAUUAGAUCCAGACUGUGUUGACAUAUGUUCAAGACUUCUUUCUGUAAAUCCAGUUCAUCGCCUGUCCUUUCAAGAAUUCUAUCAACAUAAGUUUUUAGAACAAAAGGAAUGGGAAACUAAAAGCAACUCUCAUACUAGUGAGUUUGAAUGCUGCAGAAUUCAUUCCAAGCCUUCAUGUCUGCUUUGCUUCUCUCACAAUGAAAGAAGCCUUGCGUUGUGAAUUUUCUCAGGUGCUUCUCUGCUGCAUUUGGUACCAAUUUUAACCAAGAUAAGUACUUACUUCCCCAAUCCCCAUCAAUUUUAUGGGUCACAGUGCAGCAUGGUCUAGAUUAUCAGGUGAUCCUGGAAAUGCUUCACUAACAAAGAAAAUAUUGAGUACGGUUUCAUAUUGUAAUUCAUGGGUGUUUUAACCUUUUUAGUGACAUUGCAUUUUGUAUAGAUAGCAUCAUAAAAUCUCGUAUAAUCAGUUUAUUGUCACGUGUUUUUAUCAGUUUCUCUUUGGCAGCUUUAAAAUACUUUCUGACAUAAUAUAUGAAUUAUAGUUUCAUUGUUGAUACUUUAUUCGAAUUAUUACUUGUCAUAUUGACAUUGAAUCCAUUCUUCCAGUGCGUUAUAUAAAAGAAACAAAUCUUCUUCUUUGAAAUGUUGUGGUGACAAUGGUAUGACUUCGAAGUUUGUUUUGAAAGAGGCACUGGAUCUUCAUAAGAGUCUUGUAUUCAUCUAGAAUAGUAAACCAUUCCAAUGACUUAACUUGUUUACUAGGGAUUUAAGGGGAUAUGGUUAGUGGAAAUUAUUUUUCCCACCCUUUCUAGCUUCAGAGACCUGCUGUAUGUGAUCAUGGCUAUGAGAUUUUAUGAGGAAGCUGUAGUAAUGUAACUACUUGUGCUCUAACAACCUAUAUGGUUGCCUUGUCAAAAUCUUGUGUACUAAAAUAUUUUAGUAUAUGAGCAUAUUGUUACAUAGUGCCACUAAAAUUUGGCACGCAGUGAAACCCCUAAAACUUUUAUGUAUGAAUAUAUAUUUCUCAGCAAAUGAUCUGUUUCUAACAAAUAGAAACAGAAUAAAGAUUUUGUCAUGCUGACCAUAUAAGCACUUAGGUACAAGUUGGUAUUGAGAUUGCAAAUAAGAUGAUUGGCACUUAGCCGUGAGCUUGUAGUGAUAAGAUUAGCAGCAGCGAGAAUGUAGCUGUGGGAAACAUUUGGUAAAGACUAAAGAAUAUAAUGGGUGUGUGGUGGAAAAAGACCAUGAAGGGCUUGAAUGCUUUAAAUGCCUGUAAUGGAACAAAUUAUUUAGUAUUGAAGUGAUUUCAAUUAUUUUCACAUUAUUGUAUAAUCAAUUGUUCUAUUUCUUUGUUUAUUGUUUUGAUUUCAUCAGUUAGUAUAUUAAUGUCAUUUUUAUUUCGUCAAUCUGUUACUAUUUCAUUUUAUUAAUUAUAGAAUUAAUUGUUUCUAAAUUUAUUUGUUUAUUUAAUAUUUUUAUACUUCAUAUGUCUAGGUAUGCUGUAGAUUAGAGUGGUGUUUCUAUCAAGUUUGUUGAUUUAGAGAGUUAUAUAAGAGGGAAUUUGGUGUUCCACCUUGGGAUCACAAUCACCAUAGCACCUAGAAUGCCCAAUGGCGGUUAAAGCCAACUGCAGAGUAUGGCAGCAAUGACUUGCAACCAUUACAAGUUUGGAGCGGCAUCCACACAGCAUCAUUUUGGGGUGCUAUAGGCACUACCAAACUGAUCCUUUUUUUCUGGAUAUCUCUUACAGCUUACCUUUUAGGCAAGUUCGGUGAGCUGAUUCAUUUGUAUGUUGAUGGGUUUUAGAACGCUAACUUGUAAUUCAGCAUACUUACCACUUUUGAUGCUUGUAGUGUUUAAAAAAUGUUUGUCUUGGGCAUGAUUCUUGAACUUUUCUGAGACUUUUAUUCAACAA